rnacentral:rRNA from 1 species
UACAGGGGGUGCAAGCGUUGCUCGGAAUCAUUGGGCGUAAAGCGCACGUAGGCGGUUCGUUAUGUCGGAUGUGAAAGCCCUUGGCUUAACCGAGGAAGUGCAUCCGAAACUGGCGAGCUAGAGUACUAAAGAGGAUCGCGGAAUUCCCGGUGUAGAGGUGAAAUUCGUAGAUAUCGGGAGGAACACCGGUGGCGAAGGCGGCGAUCUGGGUAGAUACUGACGCUGAGGUGCGAAAGCGUGGGUAGCAAACAGG